rnacentral:lncRNA from 1 species
CGAAAGCAUCCUUGGGUGAUAUGAAAGCCUUAACCUGCAUUAUUUUUAAACUAGAUGUGAUCUACCUAGGACCUAACAGUUACUAUAGUGUAUAAAUUGCAGGUUAUAAAGGGAUUCUAAUUAGACUCUUGACUUUUCUUUUUAAAGGUUAAAGAGGCUCUCAGCCUGCCUCUAGUGGUGAAGUGGGGGGAGUAGUGGAAACAAGGUGAAGACCGUGCAGACUCAGCUCCUCCUGGCCAGGAAGAAGUCACCCGUUCCUGCGUCCUGGGUUCCCAUGAUCACUGUGAGACUUCCCUCUACCUCUGACAGGAUACACACACACCAGGGCAACCAGACCCUCCUGUGCUAGAAGUGGAUCACUUGCUCUGCAGGUUGCUUCCAUCAUGGGAUUCCCCCUUCACAGCAGACACGGGCAGCAGACAGCGAGAGGCAAAGUGAUCACUCCUUACGUGGUGAUCAUAGAGAGCGAGCGAGCAACGG